rnacentral:snRNA from 1 species
AUACUUAACCUAGUAGGGGAGAUAUCAUGAUCACGAAGGCUUAUCCAUUGCACUCCGGAUGUGCGACUCCUGCGAUUUCCCCAAAUAUGGGAAACUCGACUGCAUAAUUUGUGGUAGUGGGGGACUGCGUUCACGCUCUCCCCUA